rnacentral:misc_RNA from 1 species
AAUGGUACAUCUGAUAAAAUUUCCUGCAUUAUAUACAUUGAGAUGCUGACUCUAAACGUUAUAACAGUAUACGUUUACGUUUGAUCCACAAAGUUAAAGCAUGCGAUAUGUGAAAACAAAUUUAGGGUUCCAAAAUGUUCCAAGAAAUAAUGCAUUAAUUUAUUGGUGAUGAGAGAAAAAAAUUCCAUACAAAUAUCUUUUCCCUAAUUGCCAAGGAAAAAAGGAAGAAGAAGAAGAAAGAAAACAAAGAAAUUGCAGAAAGUUAUGGUUUGAAGUUUCUAAGUGUAUUGGCAGUGAACAAAUUUAGUCAUAUUCAGCAAGGAAUAAUCAACAGUGCAGUGAUGCCAUUUUGGUAACAACUGGGAAAGCCCAGCCAACUGGAGGAACACCAGGAUGCAUUUGCAUUAUAGGUUGAAUCGACACCUAUAAUAAACUGCAUUAAGUUUAACAUACCUUAGUCAAAGUUUCUUAAGAGGAAAAAUGAAUUUCUAUUUUAUGUUUAUUAAUGGCAUUUUCAGCUUGUAUUUAAUCAGAAGAAAGGGAAUGGGACAGUAAAAGUACACAAAAAGAAUAAGCAUGAUUAUCAGACUUUAAAAAAAAUUCUAACGACAAAGGGUUAGUUCUAGUUGCUUUUUUUUAAAAAAAAAAAUUGGAAGUGUACGUUAUUUGCCGAAGGCAUCUCCUCGUCGCCCCGUCGCUCCUCGCUUGACCAGUCUCAGGCGCUCGCCUCUUUGCAGUGGACUUGCCUCAGCCAGGCGAGGCGUUAGGGGCUCGCCUCGCCUCACCUCGCCUCGCCUAGCGCCUGGCUUGGUGCCUUUUUUCGCCUUUAACAACACUGUCUCGAAGGAACAAACAUGGGAAAUUGGG